rnacentral:rRNA from 1 species
AUUGAACGCUGGCGGCAUGCCUUACACAUGCGAGUCGAACGGCAGCACGGGUGCUUGCACCUGGUGGCGAGUGGCGAACGGGUGAGUAAUACAUCGGAACAUGUCCUGUAGUGGGGGAUAGCCCGGCGAAAGCCGGAUUAAUACCGCAUACGAUCUACGUAUGAAAGCGGGGGACCUUCGGGCCUCGCGCUAUAGGGUUGGCCGAUAGCUGAUUAGCUAGUUGGUGGGGUAAAGGCCUACCAAGGCGACGAUCAGUAGCUGGUCUGAGAGGACGACCAGCCACACUGGGACUGAGACACGGCCCAGACUCCUACGGGAGGCAGCAGUGGGGAAUUUUGGACAAUGGGCGAAAGCCUGAUCCAGCAAUGCCGCGUGUGUGAAGAAGGCCUUCGGGUUGUAAAGCACUUUUGUCCGGAAAGAAAUCCUUGGCUCUAAUACAGUCGGGGGAUGACGGUACCGGAAGAAUAAGCACCGGCUAACUACGUG